AUAAUACUAAUUUAGAGAGUUCUGAAAGUCAGAUCAAGGCAGUCCAAGCCCUCCGUUAACAGAUGAGAAAAAACAGUUAUGGAGGUGGUGUCAGCAUCAUGGCAGAGUGAACAGGCCUGGGACUCUCUCCCUUCCAACAUACAACAAAAAGGAGCAACCAUAUUCCAAAAGAAAAUAUCCUAACAACACAAAACCAGAGAGACACUCAGCCACACGAUGGAGGCUGGAGAGGCUGGAAACCCCUCAGAGCAGCUGGAACAUGGUAAGAGAGAACUUUGCUUCCUCCUCAAAAGAGUGAGGUUGCUGCCACUGGAAGCUCCAUGAGGGAAGGAGUAGGGGAGGGGUCACACAUCUGUGGACACCCAUCACCCAGGACAGCCUAGGGCCCUUGCAGCCUAAUAGGAAGCCCUUUAAGGCAGCAAAAGCUUUCACAUGGAGUGACCUCAUCAAGCCAAGACCCCAGGAGACCAGAUAGCGAGAGCUGAUCAAAAAGUCCUGGACUGCACACUGGAGAAAGCACCCAUCCCCUGACCUACCCUGUGCUGCACCAUCUUGGCUGAAGGCAGAGAGCUCAGAAUAUGUGGCUCUCAACACCUACUCAGUGGUGAUAGGCUGUAACUGCAACUGAAUAAUAUCAGAAUGAGGGAGAGCCGACUUUCCAUCAGACACUACAUCAAAUCUCCAGACCAGAGAGAAAAUGACAAGUACCCAGAACUCAGUCCUGAGGACAUAGAAAUAUGUAAGCUAAACAACAAUGGAUUCAAAGUAGCUAUCAUCAAAAAACUCAAUGAGGUAAAAGAGAAUAUAGAGAAACAAUUAAACAAGUUCAGGAGCUACUUAACAAAAGAGAUUGACACUAUAAAGAAGAAUCAAUCAGAAAUAUUAGGGAUGAAAGACUCUAUGGAAGAGAUAAAACAAAAUAUAGAUUCUCUGAAUGCUUGUGUGGACACCAUAGAGGAAUCAAUCAGCAUAAUCAAGAUAGACAUUUUGAAAUGCUCCAGACAGAGGAGGAGAGAGAACUAAGACAAAAAAGAAAUGAAGAAAGUCUCUGAGAAAUAUCUGACUCAAUGAGAAAAUGCAGCAUAAGAACUAUAGGUAUUAAAGAAGGUGAAGAGAAGGAGAAUGGAGCAGAAAGCAUGCUCAAAGAAAUGAUAGCAGAGAACUUCCCAAAUCUAGGGAAAGAGAGGGAAAUAUGUGUGGAGGAAGCUUCCAGAUAUCCUAGAUUUGUCAAUGUAAAAAGACC
rnacentral:lncRNA from 1 species